rnacentral:rRNA from 1 species
GACGAACGCUGGCGGCGUGCUUAACACAUGCAAGUCGAACGAAGUGGCGCACGGGUGAGUAACGCGUAAUCAACCUGCCCUUCAGCGGGGGACAACAGUUGGAAACGACUGCUAAUACCGCAUACUGAAGGAGGGGACUGCGUCUGAUUAGCUAGUUGGAGGGGUAACGGCCCACCAAGGCGAUGAUCAGUAGCCGGUCUGAGAGGAUGAACGGCCAAAUGGGGACUGAGACACGGCCCAGACUACUACGGGAGGCAGCAGUGGGGAAUCUUCCGCAAUGGACGAAAGUCUGACGAAGCAACGCCGCGUGAGUGAUGACGGCCUUCGGGUUGUAAAGCUCUGUUGAUCGGGACGCGGUACCGGAAUAGAAAGCCACGGCUAACUACGUGCCAGCAGCCGCGGUAAUUC